GAGACAGCCAGGUGGGAGGGGGUCCCUGGAGAAUCUCCAACCAGCCUGCGCACUGGGAAUGCGCACUGGAGUGAAAAUACAGAAGUUGGUGCCCUUUGCAGCAGCCAGGAGUCCGACUCCUCCUCUUCCUGUGUGGAACCUGGAAUUCAAACGGCUGGGGCCUCACUCACGGCAUAUGGAACUAACCACGCCCCUAACUAAGAAGGCACACCUUAGUUGCAGUUAGCACACAAUUAAAGCAACUCUCCAAGUUUUACCUUAAAGUUCAAAAUUGCUAGGAGUUGAAACUACUAGAAAUAUAUUUACAUGCAAGAGUCAAAGAAACUUUGAACUAUUUAUGGCCUUUAAUAAUUAAGUAAGGUAUACUCCUGUGAUCAAGACUUGGAGCAUAUUUGUUUCUCUCUGCCUGGUUCCUCUAGAAAUUGGAAACUAUCAGAACAGAGACCAACUCCGUUUCCCGAUCCCUUUGCAAUCUGCAUUGAACCAUGAGUCAAGUUCUUGAUAAAGGAGUGAAAAUGGUAAGUCUAAAGCAAUGAAAAGCUGCUGUAUUGACUACACAUGCCUUCAUUUCUUCUACCCUGCUUCUUUCAUGCCUGCUUAUCUGAAUGACACCAGGAUGACAUUUAAGGCACAUCUGAAGAUGGGGAAACCACAGCACAGAAUAAGGCUGGGCCCUUGAAUCAAUAAAUGAAGGAGAACUACUCAAGAGAACAAAACCACCAGCAAUAUCCACCUGUAUUUGUCUUUUCAUAAUGUGUGACACAUGUGCUCAUGGAUUAUUGUCCGAAGCAAGACAUGUGACCAAGCCUAACAUCAACUGGGUGAAGAGCUAUAUGUUCCUUUCUCAAGAGGCACUACAAGUGACAUGCCACUGGGCAGUUUAGCAAAAGCUGGAGGUGCCUUGACAUUUGCAGUACACUGAAACAGUGGCUGGCUUGAAAAAUCCCAAAACGAUUUUCUGCAGGAGAGCCCUUUUGACUAAUAUGAGGGUGAGGCAAUGAAAAGCCAAUCUGUAAUUGUCUGCUCUUUCUUACCCUGCUGCUAACUACUGAGGAAACUGCUACAGAUGGCAGAGCCUCCAUCAAGCCAGGUGGACUGAGUAGCGCAAACUCUCUCUUUACCCGUGUUGGACAG
rnacentral:lncRNA from 10 species